UCCAGUGGCAGGACCCUUAGUCCCUUGCUUCCCCCCCAUCCUUUUUGCACAGAGCUCAGGAUGCUGCAGAGGCCUAUGAAGCCAGUGCUCUGCAUGGGCUGGCUCUCUCUCCUCCUGGAAAUUGUUCUCUCCUCCAAUGCCUUGCAUACUUCCAGCUUCUGCAAGUCACUGAAAUCGCCUGACCUUUAAGGAGCACAUUUCAUCUGGAAAGGAGACAGACAGAGAUUAUUUACUCCAUCUUCCUUACAAAUUCCAAGACCCAGGGGAAGAGAAAUGGCUGGAGCAAAGACAUCAAAGCAAGUUCUGAGCUGCAACUGGAGUUUGAGUCUCCUGCUUGACAAGCCACACCAGCCCACAGAGCACUGCCUCCCAACUUGCCUCUAGGGCUGCAUUUCUGCCCCUGGUUGUCCUCAGGCCCUGUUCAAAUGACACAUCUGUAAAGUUAUCCCAGGACAGAAGAAUCCCAAGGAAGGAAUAAAGUUUACCCAGAAGAAACUGAAGGAGGCCCAGUGAGGUUGGAGCAGUGAGACUGGGAGAGGGCAAAGGUCAGCUCCCAAGCAGCCUUGUGGGCCACACAAGCACUUUGGAUUGUACCCUGGAAGCAGCAGGAAGCCAUUGAAUGGUUCUGAGCAGGGAGGUUCCUUGUUGGACUGAACUUCUGGAGAAUAGAGUACAUACAUCCUUUUCAUCUUUGUGUCCCUCUGCUCCAAUUUCCAGUGUCUGCACAUAAUGCUCAAGAAACAUUUACUGAGCCAAAGACCAAGAUCUUAUUAAAAUGCACACGACUCA